rnacentral:ncRNA from 1 species
GGUUCGGCCGGUAAAGCCGAUUAAAAGGGAAUCGGGUGCAAGUCCCGAACAGUCCCGCUGCUGUGAACUCCAAACAAAAGGUGCCGGGAAGGACGUCACUGAUUUUGAUAAUCGGGAAGGCCUCGGUAGCCGGAGUAAGUCAGAAGACCUGCCGUGCGUAU